GACGAACGCUGGCGGCGUGCUUAAUACAUGCAAGUGGUGCGACGAACCAGGCUUCGGCCUGGGGCGAAGCCGCGAACGGGUGAGUAACACGUGGGCACUCUGCCCCUUUGAUCGGGACAACCCGGGGAAACCCGGGCUAAUCCCGAAUGAGGUGGCGACUCAUGAGAGUCGUCACGAGAGGAAGCUUCGGCCUCCGCGUAGGGAUGAGCCCGCGGCCCAUUAGCUUGCUGGUGGGGUAAGGGCCUACCCAGGCAACGAGGGGUCGCUUGUCUGAGAGGACGAUCAGCCACACUGGGACUGAGACACGGCCCAGACUCCUACGGGAGGCUGCAGUGGGGAAUCUUGCGCAAUGAGCGACAGCUUGACGCAGCAACGCCGCGUGAGGGAAGAAGGCUUUCGGGUCGUAAACCUCUUUCAGUUAGGACGAAGCUUUAUUGGUUAAUAACCAAUUGGAGUGACGGUACUUUCAGAAGAAGCCCCGGCUAACUACGUGCCAGCCGCCGCAGUAA
rnacentral:rRNA from 1 species